ACUCCUACAGCGAACAAGUUUUGAAGAGUGACGGCUUUGAUGUUUCUGACAUCCCUGGCGUCAGUUGUUUCCACCAAAUUCAACCGUGCAACAUAGACUACGAUUAUGAUAUGUAUAAACGGUAUUCGCAGCUCGCAAUCGACGAAUACAAUCGUCGGUUCAAGGAUGCCAAUGUAGAGUUGGAGUUUGUUAAGGUCUUGAAGGCAAUGGGUCAGGCUUCCAGGGGAAUCAGGUAUUAUAUAACCUUCAUGGCCAAGGAUCUUGGCGAUGGAGGUGAGAUUAAGACGUAUCAAGCUGUGGUAUUAGAUGGU